ensembl:snoRNA Gm26048 predicted gene, 26048
GCAUGAAUUCCUGAAACAUUAAACUAACAAAACCUGAAAGAUGGAUGUAAUGGGGACAGACAGUGCUAUACUAGAGCAGAGGAAAUCCAGAUGGGUCGUUUCCAUCUGCCCUGGGGCCUGUCUCUACAACGCUGCCACACUC